CCUACGGGUGGCAGCAGUGGGGAAUAUUGGACAAUGGGGGCAACCCUGAUCCAGCCAUGCCGCGUGUGUGAAGAAGGCCCUCGGGUUGUAAAGCACUUUCAGUGAGGAAGAACGCCUGGUGGUUAAUACCCAUCAGGAAAGACAUCACUCACAGAAGAAGCACCCGCUAACUCCGUGCCAGCAGCCGCGGUAAUACGGAGGGUGUGAGCGUUAAUCGGAAUUACUGGGCGUAAAGCGCGCGUAGGUGGCUUGAUAAGCCGGUUGUGAAAGCCCCGGGCUCAACCUGGGAACGGCAUCCGGAACUGUCAAGCUAGAGUGCAGGAGAGGAAGGUAGAAUUCCCGGUGUAGCGGUGAAAUGCGUAGAGAUCGGGAGGAAUACCAGUGGCGAAGGCGGCCUUCUGGACUGACACUGACACUGAGGUGCGAAAGCGUGGGUAGCAAACAGGAUUAGAUACCCGAGUAGUC
rnacentral:rRNA from 1 species